CAGCUGUUGUCUAAAGAUUUAAAACCUUAACUCCUGGAAAAGACAGAAAGUUGUUUUUAAUAUGGAUUUUCUUGGUUUUGAAUAUAAGGUCAUAAGAUUAAAAAUUAUUUACUUGUUCACUCCACAGAUAAGUGUUGGGCACCCAUUGCUGGCACUGGGCCAAUUGCUGGUGGAUACACCAUGUGGUUCUCAUCUGCUCACUUCUGCACACUCCCUGUGGAGAUGCUGGCUGCUGAGUCAAGAGGCAGUCUGAUGGAGAGGCCAUGUAGCAAGGGAUUGAGCAGCCAUGUGAGUGAGCUUAUAAGUGGAUCCACCUCAACUCUCCUUGACAUGACUAAAGCCUUAGGAGAAGCCUGAACUCAGAAGAACCCUGCCAAGCCACAUCAGGCCCACAGAAAUCAUGAGAAGCCUCCGAAUUUACCUGGAGAUUCACCAACAACCACCUUGUGGGUGAGAUGAGAAGGGGAAUGAAUACCAGGAUACCAAUCUCUGCUGAGAUUUCACCCAGAUACUAACUUCAUUUACCCACAAAAUGCUAUUGAAGAAAGGUUCUGCUGUUUAAGAGAAAAUAAAUAAAUAA